rnacentral:rRNA from 1 species
GAUGAACGCUGGCGGCGUGCCUAAUACAUGCAAGUCGAGCGAACGGACGAGAAGCUUGCUUCUCUGAUGUUAGCGGCGGACGGGUGAGUAACACGUGGAUAACCUACCUAUAAGACUGGGAUAACUUCGGGAAACCGUAGCUAAUACCGGAUAAUAUUUUGAACCGCAUGGUUCAAAAGUGAAAGACGGUCUUGCUGUCACUUAUAGAUGGAUCCGCGCUGCAUUAGCUAGUUGGUAAGGUAACGGCCUACCAAGGCAACGAUGCAUAGCCGACCUGAGAGGGUGAUCGGCCACACUGGAACUGAGACACGGUCCAGACUCCUACGGGAGGCAGCAGUAGGGAAUCUUCCGCAAUGGGCGAAAGCCUGACGGAGCAACGCCGCGUGAGUGAUGAAGGUCUUCGGAUCGUAAAACUCUGUUAUUAGGGAAGAACAUAUGUGUAAGUAACUGUGCACAUCUUGACGGUACCUAAUCAGAAAGCCACGGCUAACUACGUG